GAGCGAACGCUGGCGGCGUGACUUAACACAUGCAAGUCGUGGGAGAACGGGGGGCUUCGGCUCCCUUAGUAAACCGGCGCACGGGUGAGUAACACGUAGGCAACCUGCCUCCGAGACUGGGAUAACCUAUCGAAAGAUGGGCUAAUACCGGAUAAGACCACGGGAGCUUCGGCUCUUGCGGCCAAAGGUGGCCUCUACUUGUAAGCUACCACUUGGAGAUGGGCCUGCGGGCCAUUAGCAGUUGGUGAGGUAACGGCUCACCAAGGCUACGAUGGCUAGCUGGUCUAAGAGGAUGAUCAGCCACACU
rnacentral:rRNA from 1 species